rnacentral:tRNA from 1 species
CAGGAAAUAGUUUAAUAAAAAUAUUAAUUUUGGAGAUUAAUGAUAAAAAAGAUUUUUUUCCUGA